GGAGGAAAGGUGACUGAGGCCAUCUCCAGCAGGAAGAUUGUGGGUGCCAAUAAGAGAAGCAGAAGGAGAGAGAUCAACAGAGUUGGGCCAUGGAGAGUUAUGUCACCAUGAAUUAACCUGAGCUUGGAAGGGAUGAGAAGGAGUUGUAACAGGCACAGUCUGGGACAGAACAUCUCUAUAAAAUUGCCUAGUCUUAGCAAAGAUGAAGAAAUAACUUGUAACGGCAGGCUGGGCAAGCCAGAACAUUCAGUCAGGCAGCAAAAAUAAAGUAUGGAACAAUCGGUUUUAUUUCCCAUUGUGGCCAGAGCUGAAUGGG